rfam:Nicotiana attenuata strain TT scaffold17126, whole genome shotgun sequence.
ACUCGGCAAAAUUGCCGUAAACUUCGGGAGAAGGGGUGCCUCCUCACAAAGGGGGUCCUAGUGACCAGGCCCGGGUGACUGUUUACCAAAAACAUAGGUCUCCCCAAAGUCAUAAGACCAUGUAUGGAGGCUGACGCUUGCCCAGUGCCGGAAGGUGAAGGAAGUUGGUGACCUGAUGAUAGGGGAGCCGGCGACCGAAGCCCGGUGAACGGCGGCCGUAACUAUAACGGUCAUAAGGUAGCGAAAUUCCUUGUCGGGUAAGUUUCCACCUGUAGUUAUAGGAGUUGUUGUAGCAGAUG